rnacentral:lncRNA from 1 species
GUCCUGAAGCCCGUCUUCCCCUGCCCAGGCCAGCAGCCCAAUUGCCCAGUGCGGUGAGCCCCACCACCCCUCUCCUUUUUUCUGGAAGUUUCACAACCAUGUUCAAAUAUAAACACCAUUGUGUGAGAGCCCAGCAGCCCCUCGGGAGUCCCCUGUGGUGUGAUGGAUGAGCUGGGGACAGAGCCCACAUCAGUCAGCUCUUGCCUGGCCCCAGAGCAGGCCGUCAGCCCCGCCUGACUUGCAUCAUUUGUCUCCAAGUACCAGGGGAUUUUCGGCAGCUGUGGAGCCAAGCAUUUCAACAGGGAACAUAGUUCUGGUCUGCGGGAAAUGGAGACAUCUGCAAGUCUCCAGUGCCUGCAGUUAUGAGGUCCAAAGAGAACGGAUCAGAGAAGGAAACACAGCUACUCCGGCCUCUCCGCCUGCUCACAAGAGGGAGACACCCCAUCAGCAGAGGCGAGAGGGAACGGCUCCUUUCCUUGUUGGCAGUGGGCUUGGAAAUAGCCACACUGGCUUCCCCCAGGCCACCUGAUACACCUCCGGCGCCUCAGGGCAGGAAGUCUCAGAAACCAGGCAUGGUUUCUGACUGCCCACUUCAACUCUGGUUGGCACGAAAAAAAGAAGGGCUGUGCAGGAAUUGUCUCUGUGCCACAGUAGAAACCGAAGUAGAUUCUCAGUGCAAACUCACGUGAUUGAAUGGCUGUCGUCUCCAGAACAGACUGGAGCUGUCCUAUCUUAGAGGUGCUUCCGUUGGUGGCCUUGAACUUGGUUUGCAGACAGAAACUGCACUGGUACACCACAGGAGAUGGGGCAACUGAGGAUGGGGGUCGACGGGAGAUUGGCAGGAGCUGGGGCAGGAUUUUUUUCCUGACCCCAGCUGGUGAUCAGCUUAUACCCUAAAGCAGAAGGAUUAAUAACCAGGGUAAUUUUAUCCCUGUUAGAAUGUAACUACAGAUGUGGGCUUACUGGCUGAAACAGCUAAUCCUUUCUACAUUUGGCUCACUCAUGAAAUACGAUGCCUGAGGUUGUCUAAAGCACUGUUUGCACACGGGCCUGCGCUGGGCGCGGCCUCUCUCUCUCUCUCUCUCGGCUGAGUGGGCAGCUGUGGGGUGGGGUGGGGAGGCAUCUGUGCUCUGGCCUCUUGGGCAAGCUGCCUUUUCACUGGGCCGGUGAUGGAGGCGAAGGCCUGAGGCCUGUGUGUCUGUGGACUUGAAGGGUGCAGUUGAAGGAAAAUGCCAGGUGUUGGAGUGGGUGGGUGCACAGAGAGUCUGGAGAGGAGAGAAAAAAAAAAAACUCUUGGAAAAAAAUCUAAGGUUCAUUUCGACCUGAAGUCCCUGAGACUCGAGGGAUGGGGAGGCAGCAGGAGGGGGAGGGAAGGGGGAGCCCCAGGUCGAGCCAGCAGGCACCCAGGGAUUUACAGCGAGGCGAUGGUUGGAGGCUGCAAAGCGAGGAGAGACGAUUAUUAAUAAUCAAAGAGCUACUGCUGCUGGAGCAGAGAUGAAAGGCUUUCCAGGCCAGUCGGUGAUGCGCCU